AACAGAAAGGAGGAGGAAACUCCUCUAUCUCAGUUCUCCCUCGCCUCCAAACCAACUUCACCAUUUCUCGGAUCAUAACAAUUCUAGAGUGAGACAGAUACAGAGAAAAUGGCAAGUUCAACCGCUUCAAGGCUGCUCAGCUUCACCAAACACAACUCAGCUCUCCAAAGCCUCAUUCGCAGCCACCUCCUCCGCCCUACCGCCGCCACAACCCCCUCAAUCACUCAUCCACCCUGCCGCACUGCAGAGCGGCAAACUCCAGACCUAAAGCCAACGCAGAGGUCCACAAAUAUAACAGAGAUAUCGGAGAAGAUGAUGAAGAACCCAGUUGCAGAUAUUAGGGGUUUUUAUCCAUCUGGGAUGGUGGGUUUCCCUGGGGUUGAUCAAUCUGGGAUUAUGCAAGCCCGCAAGGAUAGUGAUGGGUCCUUCGGUUUUGUUUCUGAGACUGAACUUGAAGAUAGUGAUGGAGAUUUUGGGUUUGACUUGAACCAUUACGAUGAUGCGGGCGAGGACGACGACGAUCUCUUCCAGGAUACCCACGACGAGGAUGGCUCUGACUCCGAGUAGCAUACUUUUGUUUUCAUCACUCAUUAUCUUUCAUAUUUUGCUAUUCCAUUAAUCGCAGAAGAUUAUUAACCAGCUAUGGUAUUAUUAUUAUUAUUAUUAUUGGCUACAAAAAUGUCUGUGGAAGUUGGCAAUUGUAGAAUGACAAUUCGAAUUAGGCUUUUUCCUUUUGAUCUAUGAAAUGUUACUCCUCCUCUGUGGAUUUCUCUUGAAUAUAUAUAUAUAUAUAUGUAUGUAUGUAUAUGUGUGUGUGUGUGUUCUACUUUGCGUUUAAUUGAACAUUUCAAGUAAAAUUGGACUAAAAUGAAUGAUUCAGUGUAUAUUUUGGGACAAUAGAAAAAUGAGGGACAAAUUAACAUCUUGUUCUGCUGCCUCAAGAAUGACUCGAGAAACUUGGACCAUUUCUUUCCAGCUUCAGAAUCGUUAUAUCUGUCGCUACAGAACAAUUCUGUGUCUUGCAACCUUUUCUUCUUCUUCUUUGUAUUUGAGCUGCUGAGGGUACAGUACACUAUUGUUAAGCGCCUGCACGUGGAGGACAUUAAAACACUAACUAUUGGGUACAACGGUGAAGAUCAUCAGCAACUAUAUAUAAAUGUCCUAUUCCUGUACCUGGUGUUGGUUGGGCAUUCAAAUUAACACUACUGUUUGUAAUGAAAAAGCGGUCUAAUCAAAUCGGUUUGGUUGAAUCGGUAUGAUUUCUGAAUUUUUCGCUGUUCAUUCUGGCUUUAAAACUUUCAAUCCAAAUCUAUGCAAUACUGCUCUUUCGUAGAAAUUAUUAUACAUGAAUGAAUGUGCAGAGAAGUUUCUAUCUUUUCCAGAUUGCAACAGAUUCCCAUCUCAUCUGAUGCUGCCCUACCUUCAACGAAUAAACCAUACCAUGAUACAGAGACAGCUCUUAGUUUGUGCUAGGGUCCUAUCUUAUAUAUUUUUUUUAACAAAAUAAUUGCUACAAGUCUCAUAUUUUUCUUUUUGAAUUGAAAGGAAAACUAUCGAAUUGGGUGAGGGAGAAGGGGAGUUGAUUGUGUCAAUUGGGAUGCUUCUCCACAGGACAUAUAAUCAAAACAGCCCGCCCGUCCAAAUUUACAUGUUUUUUUUUGUUGUUUUCAUCGACUCCAUUAGGGCCAUUAAGCUCAAAUUUGAGGUUGAGUUUCAAAGUUCAUCGAGUUCGAAUUUGAUAAAAUUGAGUCGAGUUUAAUUGAUUAGAUCAAAUUUUCAAUUCGAUUUAGUUCAUUUAUAGUCUCAAGUCUCGUCAAAACACUAUGCGAAAUUGUACAAGGGAACACACACACAUAUAUACACACUCAUUUUCUUUAAUAAGAAAAUCCUUGAGGAUUUAGUUUUUGGUCAUCGGAUGGGAUGGUACAAAUUAUUUUGAAAAAUUGUUAGCACUUCAAGAAUUAUCAUUCCACGUUUUGGAUAUUAUACUGGAUAGAGAUCGCUCAAUGACGGGGUUGUUGUUAUAUCUUUUUUUUUCCCUGUUUUUGUAUACUUUUAGAGUUAGAAAUUACUGUUUUCAUAUAAGCAAAAAGGCUCAUGUUUCAACUCUUUUUUUUUUCUUUUUUCUUUUUUCUUUUGAGAAAUGUUAUUUGCACUUCCAUUUUUAUUAAUCAUACUUUCACUAUCAUUUUAAUCAUACAGUUUUCAUUUGUUAGACUAUAUGAUAAAAUAAACGAUGAGAGUACAAAUAACAAAAAAUAGGAUGCAAAGAAUAUUUUCCUUUUUUCGUUUUGGCUUCUAUCAACGUGAGUUACAAUAAUGAUCCAACAGGCAAAUGAUUGUGCAAACGAGUUAUCUAAGAAGAAUCACUAUUUUUCUAUUCAAGAAGAUUAAUUAAUUAGUCAUUAGGUGCUUUUGUUUAGUAUAUUUAGAGUAGAGAACUUUUUUAAAAAAGGUAAAUUGUUGUUUUAAUGUUUCAUUAUCACAUUGACUUUUGAUUUAAUGUUUAAAACAUUUUGUUCAGGACUUUUGUUUGUCCCCAUUAUAAUUUUUAAUUUUAGCAUAUAUUUUCUACUGUCUCAAAUUAUUUUCAAAUAAUUACACUUUUAUAAGAGAUUAUAAAUUUUAUCUACUAAAUGAACAUCUUUGUUUUCAAGAUUCAAUGACAGGUUUGAAAAAAGAACUGGUGCAAGUGCACAGGAUAAGAAGUAUAUUUGGUUAGGCUAAUCCGCUAAUGUAUUAACAACUAUUACAAAAAAAAAAAAAAAAAAAAUAAAAAAUCAAACAAGUCUAUAUUAGUGAUUAGACUAACUGUGACCCAAACCCGCACAGCUCACAACCCCCGACCCAAAACUGAGUAACUGGAAAUGGACCACAUUGGAAUUCAACCAACCCGUCUUCUGACCCUACAAAGACCCGACCCAAAGCAUCAUAAGAGUUGCGCCAUUGGCUCGACUCCUGAACUCCUUCCGGCCAGUUGGGACAUUGAGCUUGAAGUCUUGAACUACCACCGGCAGUAGCAAUGGAAACGGCGGAAACUUUUUUAUACGAAACCCUAAGUCCUCUGAGUCUCACUACCAACACCGACGAACCGCCGCCAACUUCGUCGCCGCCAUGUUCGUCUUCAAACCCAGAUGAAGCCGAACCCUAUGUUGUCUUCCGCAACGAAAUUUCUCUUUUAUCUACUCAGUCCUCGACAACUGAAACCGCUGCUCCUGAAUAUUUCUCCCUCGACGUUAUUGAUGUCGUAGAGAAUGUUAUAGAUACUCCAAUUCCGACUCCCGAGGCGUCUCCAGCUGCAACACCAGUAAAAGAGCCGGAGCGGGAGAGAAGACUGGAGGGGAAUUGGUUUCGAGCUAACUGUCGCUUCAAAAGUCCCAUGCUUCAGCUCCAUAAAGGUAUCUUUUUGUCAGCAUUUAGAGUUUGAUAUUAUCUCUUUAACUGCACUUUUCCUCCGCAUUUAUGGAAAUUAUAGUGCUAUUGCUUACGUAAUUGGAAGAAGCCAGUUGCUUUGAAGUUUAUCUGGAGCAUCAGUGGUGAACUUGAAUUGUUCAUGCUUCAGCUUUUCGAUUACCAGUCGUUGGAAAGAUUCUACUAGACACAAAAGAAAUAAUUUAGAUUAAAAAAAAUUUAAUGGUGUUGGAUUUGGACACAGUUUUAGGUUUUUUCAUUCCAAGUUUUGGUUUAGGGUAUUGAGUAUUUCCACCUACACAAUGUGGGGAUUUUCUGUUUUGUGUAUUGAUGAGCUGCUAUGAAGAGAGAGGAGAGAGGCAGAGCACUCUGUCCGGGGAUGUGAGUUGGUGAUUUAGUCUUCUGAUUUUGAUGUUGCAGAAAUACUAGAUUUUUGUGACUUUCUAUCUCCAACUCCAGAAGAGCAGGCAUCUCGGAAUGAAGCUAUAGAUGCUGUUUUUGAUGUUAUUAGAUAUAUCUGGCCCAACUGCAAGGUUCACCUCUAUCCCGAGCCAUCGUCCCUUUCAUGCAAGUAUGUAAUUCAACUUAUAAUUUCUGCAACUGCAUUUUAAUGUGUCUCUGUUGAUCUUGCAGCCAGAAGUUUUUGGGUCAUUCAAGACGGGGCUCUAUCUUCCUACAAGCGACAUUGAUGUAAUUUGACUACUCCCAUGUGCUUUUCUGUAUCUUUACCUUCAAUUUGCCAAGUCCACAUUUCCCCAAAGAAUAAAAUUGAUAAUGCAAAAAGGAAAGUUAAAGUGAGGAGCUUAGGUUUAUUGUUUUGUGUGUUUAACUAGCUUUUGUAGUCCUACAUGCUAAGGACUCAUUUUGAUGUGUCUUGUUUGUGUUGAUUCCACCUGCCUACAUAUUCUUUCAUUGUUAUAAAUCUGACUUUACUAGUCGUAUGUUUAUGAAUAUGUGGGCUGUCAAUCCUUUUCUACUUGCUUGAGAUGUGAUUGAAGUUCCUCAAGUUGCUUGAUUAUAUUAGUUUUACAUACAUAAUUUGAUCACAAAGCUUUGCUUCUUGUUGACAAACUGACAGGGAAGUGGAUACUCAUUUUAUUCUAGUUUGUGUUUCAGAUUCUGGAAAGCGAUUCUUAGGUUAUUGUUUACAUUAUUUGAAAACUGAUUAGUUGUAGAUGAAAUAUCAAAGUUGAACUUAUUUAACACCAGUGGUGCAUGACAGGUUGUGAUAUUGGAUUCCAAAAUUUCUCGUCCUCAGAUUGGUUUGCAAGCUCUUUCUAGAGCCUUAUCACAAAGAGGAAUUGCAAAGAAGAUUCAGGUCAGAUAAAUGUAACAUUUGAAUGUAUUCUUUGGUGAAAACUUUCUCGUUUGACCAGCUUUGGCGUGACUGCUUUUUUAUUCUAUUAGGUGAUUGCAAAGGCUCGUGUGCCAAUUAUCAAAUUUGUGGAGAAAAGAAGUGGUUUCGCAUUUGAUAUAAGGUCUAUUCUCCAAAAAUGUCCUGGCUAAUAUUGCUGAUCUUACUCCAAUUCAGCAGAAAGCAAGAACUCUGAUUGUCUAGAUUCGCAUGCAUAUUAACUGUUGUUUUGAUUGAAUAAUUAAUGAAGGGUUUGCUGUGCCAGUUCCAAUUUCAUCACUAUUCGUCUGAUUGAGCAUAGUUGAAAGUAGCUCUUCCGCUGAAGCAUCGAUCUGUUGUUUAACCUUGAUGUAUUUGUGGUCUUGGAUAUAAGAAAGAAUAAGGAACUUUCUUGUAGGCACUCAUAAGUUCUCUAUUAUUUUCUUAAAAUGUGAUAUUCUUUUUCCCUUUUUUGCAGUUUUGAUGUACAAAAUGGACCAAAAGCUGCUGACUUUAUAAAGGUUUCUGGAUAUCUUUUGGACCAAUAUAGUAUCUGCAUGGAUAAUCUAGUGCCUUUACUAAUCACUGGUCUUUUGUCUUUUAGGAUGCUGUAGCUAAAUGGCCUCCUCUGCGACCAUUAUGUUUAAUUUUGAAAAUAUUUCUACAACAGAGAGAGUUGAAUGAGGUGGUGUUCUACUUUUUACUCUCCAAUUGAUUUACCUGCUAUUACUUGGUUGUUCUUGUUCUUAUAUUCGUUGCUUGUGGGGUUUAAGGUAAUUGUUUCUUUUUUCUGGUUUUAUCCUGUAGGUGUAUAGUGGUGGGGUUGGUUCCUACGCGCUGCUGACCAUGCUGAUAGCUAUGCUGCAGGUAAUUUAGUCAAGUUUGGAAGAAAUGUACAUCAAUAAGGCGUUCUAGUAAAUUCACAUUGUGGUUGUCAAUAUUUUCUGUAAAGCCAGUCUCAAUGCUCAGAUGUCAUGCUAAAGGAUUAUCUUCUUCUUUUCGUCAUUCAAAUUUCGGCCAUUACAAUUUGCCUUACUUUUUCUUAUUCAAAGUAUAGCCCUACGUAAUUAACAUCUGCUUGCUGCUUGACAUUUUGAAGAUCAUUAAUUGUGAAAUGCCUUUUUUGUGAAGGAAAAUCAAGGUUUGUGGCGAUACAAAGUAAUAAUGGAAUGGGAUACUGACAUUAGUUAAUUAUUGGUGGAGUAAAAAGAGGAGAGUAACUGGACUAAAAGUUAAUUCAUUUUCUUUUCUGAUAUAUUAUGUUAUGAGAAGUUGGCAAUAGCACCUCCAUGGUGCUUGUCUGAUGCAAACUCCUAACUGCACCGAAAGUUAGUUGAUUUUAUUAGUAUGAGUAGUUGAUUGCUGAUUACUUUGGUUCCCUUCUUCCCUUGUCUUUUAAUGCUUGAUUGUUUUUCGUUGUCUCAUGGUAUUUAAUUAUGCAGAAUUAUAAUUAUCGCCAAGCUUCUCCGGAACACAAUCUGGGAGUUCUUCUGGUGUGUUUCCCAUAACAUAUACUACUAAUGCUUAUGCUUGUCAUGUUAGCCGUUUUGUUAUAGUGCAGCUGCAGUUUAGCAUUUAAUUGCAUGUGCCAAAAGUUGAAUUUAUUCAUACUACAGUUACACUUUAGUAUCUAAUGCAUGAGCCAAAAGUCAAAUAUUUGUAUUUGUGGCUAGUCUUUGGUUUUAAGUUAAUGCUUUUGAAAAUAGUACAGGGAAAUAAGAACUUUUAAGUAGUUGAUAUUUUGUUUCCUUUGAACGAUAGGUGAACUUUUUCGAUAUGUAUGGCCGCAAACUGAAUACAGCUGAUGUUGGUGUAUCUUGCAAUGGAGAAGGCACCUUCUUCUUGAAGAGCAGGAAAGGGUGAGAAACUUAUCCUAUGUACUUGUUUAUUUGUUGCCGUUAUUUCGUUUUGGCUUAAGCUUGUAAUUUGAACUUUAUAUCCGUCUCUUUUAAUGUUUCAGGUUUUCUAUCAAGGGAAAACCUUUUGUUAUCUCCAUUCAGGAUCCGCAGGUUAUUUGAAGUUUUUAAUGUGUCUUCAUUCAUGAUACUUUUCUAUCUUGUUACUUUCAGAGUUGCAGAUGGACUGGUCUUAAAUUUCUAAACAGCUGGAUAACAAUUUUUCUAUUUCUUGAUUUGUUAUUGAGCUUGGACUGCUCGAGUCUGAAUUUCUUGCUGUCCCAAGAGUAUGUCCAUCAGGACAGUGCAGAGGGCUUUACAAUUAGUUUGGGGCAGAUUUGAGCUGCUGAAGGAAUUUAUUCAGUUCCUGAGUGAAUUGAAGACAUGCAUUAUCUUCAAUUCAAAACCUCAUAGGAUGCAUGCUCUUUCAAUUUCAUGCUGUUGAAAGUUUAAGUAGAUUCAGCUGGUAAAGGAUAUAUCAGAUUUUUUUUGUUGAUUCUCUGCAUAAAGAAUGUGAAGUGGCAACAUAGCUUUUGUUUUGAUUCUCUGCAUAAAGAAUGCAAAUUAGUCCAAGACUACAUGAUCUAUCUUCUUCUUCUUUCCCUUUUUUUUUUUUUUUGUGUUUGGGGGGGGGGGGGGGGGGGGCGGGGAGGUGGUUGGUUUGUUCAAAAAGAACUAUGUUAUCUUGUAGGUAUGUUUUUUGUGAUCGACAUUAUCUUAUGAAUCUGAUGCCUUUACUGUUGUAGGCCCCAGAGAAUGACAUAGGAAAAAAUUCCUUCAACUAUUUCCAGGUAUCCCCUUGUUCAUUUAUGAUUCUCUAUUUUGAGUUUCUUUUCAUGUGCCAGAUGUUGGCUGCUAAAACAAGUCAAUUUGCCAAAGGAACAGAAACUGAGAGUUCCUUUGGGUUCCAUUUCUACUUGGUUUAGCAUCACGUAGUUAGGAAAGUCAAAAAGUAAUGCUAUUUGAGCUACUUUGUACCCUAUCCACUGAUUUAUAGCUGCCUGUACAUUAUGGCUAGGAAACAAGAAAUUGCCUGCAAAACUAUCUGCUCUAUUUGCUGAUUCUCAUGUCAUCCUGUUGAUUUUAGAAGUAAUCAUCAUUGAUUUUACAUCUAUUUUUGUCUGGAGGAAAGAAAUGGUCCUCAACUGUAUUCAAGCACAGCAAGCCAUCGUCCACCAUAUCAUAAAAAUGUUUGUCUUACCUCUGAUCUUUGUCAAGUUUCCAGAAACUGAAGUUCUUAUAAUUCCUAUGAUGUAGACCCAUGUGAUUUCGUGCAUUACGUUUCUGACAUCUUCAUGCACCUAGGAGUUGGUGUUGGUAUUAAUCAGUUUUAAUCAUGAUUGAUUCUCAGACCGACCCUAACUUAUGUUGGCUUUUGCAGGUUAGAUCUGCUUUUGCAAUGGCUUUCAGUUCUCUGACAAAUGCAAGAGCUAUUCUGGGCAAUUGUCCCAACAGGAGCAUUCUUGGUACCAUUAUAAGGCCAGAUGCAGCGCUGCUAGAACGGAAAGGAGGAUCUAAUGGGGAGGUGACAUUUAAGAAGUUGCUUCCAGGUGCGGGAGAGCCACUGGCUGAACAAAAUGGUGAUCACAGGGAGAUAUAUUGUAACUGGGAGUUGGGUGAUGAGGAUGACGAACCACUUCCCCGGGGAAAUCCAAUUUCUGGAGAUGACAGUGAACAUUCCUCAGGAAAGAAGAGGAAGAAAUCACUUCAGAGGAAGGCUGUUAAGAAGGUGAAGCAGAGUGGGGAUGAUAAAACUGUCAGACAUGGAAAAAUUAGCUCAGGGAAGAAGUCUAUGAAGGAUUGGAGACGUCAUCAAGAUGGUGGUGAUAGCAAUGGAUACAGAAGCCAUGAUAGGGUUUCAUCACUGAGGAGGCCUGCUUGAUCAAGCAAUUUCCGAGCAUCCAUCUCUCACAGUCGUAGAGCAGCAGCAAUUAGGAAUCACAGAGACGAUCCAUGAUGCGAAUGCUUCUUCCUGGAGUUUCUAGUAAUUGUGCAAUUACAAUUAUGGCGAUAAUAUUGCUUCUCAAAAAAUAGAUCAGGGAAACUUACCAGUUAGACCUUUAGCCAGGAACCUUGAUGCUCUGCCCUGGAUCUUUCCUUGGUGGGACUUGCGGGGUGGAAUUGGUGCUUCAAGCUCUUAUUGCUAAGUGCAUGAUUGAUCAUCAGUCUGCCUUGGAAUCCUCUGAACCAUGGCGGAGUAGCAGCAGUGUCAAAAUGCUCAUCGCUUAAGGUGUUGAAGCUAUCGAGGAUUUUCAGCCAUAAUUUGAGGAAAGAGUAGGGAAUUUAAUGCUGCUGUAACUCGGUAAGUUCUGUUGGAAAAACCUUAGGUCAUACUUGGACUGUAUUUGUCCUACAUUUAUACAUCCAGCAUCAGUUCAGGUGCUAAAUUUUUGUUUUUGUUACAUUUUUAGAGCCUACGUGUUAAUAUAGCAGCUUCAACAUGUAUACAAGUAAGAACCUUUUUUUUUUUUUUAACAUUUGUUUGGAUGCCAGGUAAUGACAUAUUACCGUUUAACGUGUCCGGGGUAAUCUGCAAGUCAUUAGUCACGACACGGUGCAUGGUAGCUGUAGCUGGGGGGACAAGAAACAUUAUUGAAUAUUCAUUGUAUCACAUUCAUGACGACCCUUGUAUAUCAUCUUGGUAAAAAACCCUCCCUAGCUUUUAUAUAUAUAUAUAUAUAUAUAUAUAUAUAUAUAUAUCUGAUCUGCAUCUGGAUCGGGUGGGCCGCCAGGGAGUUAUUAAUUAUUUAAGUCAAGAAAAAUAACGUUGGUUAAAACACAAUUAUGCGUCGUGCUUUCCCGGCCAUUUAAUAAGCUCUCGCAUUCUUGUACUGAAAUAUAUAUAUAUAUAUAUAUAUUGGGUACUUGUCGCUAUAAAUUGCUAUUGUCUUGAACUGGUGAUGCAAAUUUUGGAUGAGCAAAUCGUGGGCGUUAAGAAGCCGAGGAUUCAAAAUUCAUGCUUUGUUUAUUUUGUCAUUAUGAUAGUUGAAAGGGCAAGAAUAGAAGACUAUCAACUAUAUAUCUCUUAAUCUAUGAGUACAUUAAUCUAACUGCCUUCAACUUCCGACUUAAUUAUUGUUGCAAGCGCAUAACAUAUUGACAUCCAACUGCAAAACAGAUCAACAUGCACUUAUUAUUAUUGUUUGCUUUGCAGAGUGGGCCACUUUUAUCCCUGUUGAUUGAUCAUAAACACAUUUCGCCCCUUUUGUUUUAAUUUUUAGAAUAAUAAUAUAUUUAAUCAGUCAAUUAUGACUAAAUGAAGCGCAUGAGGGGCGAGUCAAAGGGCUCUCAGCAUAAUUUGGGCUAGAGGGAGGUACUGAGUGAACCAUCCUGGUGGCCACCGCCUAGUUUUGUGGGGGUGAAAAUCUUACCUCCCACCAAAAUAUCACAUUUAAGUGAUGUGCUUAAAAAAAAUUCAAACGGAUGUAUUGUGUAUCAAUUUGAUUCAGUGAUAGUUUAAUCCCUUUCGAAUUAUUUUUGGACCUCUUUAGAUCUACUCUCUCCCCCUUUUAGUGUAACAUAGAUUAGAUUAUAUAAUUAUCGUCGUCUUUGCAAACAAAAAAAAAAAAAAAAAAGGAAGAAGGAGGUAGCGAGUGACCAGAGGUGUCUCAGUAUAAUUAUUGUUGUUCAAUUAGAAAGCUUAGCGAAUGUACGCGAAAAGGAAAAAAGGAGAAUUGUGUAAAUUCGCAGUAGUCAACGUAUGAUAAGACAGAAGGGAAGAAAAGGCCAAAAAAAAAAAGAAAGAAAAAAGAGAGAGAAACAAACAAAUGUCGAAAUAAGCUUAGACAUCGGGGUUUGUCGAUCACUGUCCCAGACUCCAAGUUACCUUUGCGAUAGUUCUUUUCUCUCCCCGAAUUAUUGUACUGAAUCAGUAGGCUCCUUGAUUCGAGUGCCAUACUGGACACUAGAAAAUGAAUCCAAUGUCAAUCUGUACGCCGUCGUCGUCGUCAUCGUCAUCGUCAUCUUCAAGCUCAACUAAAGCCUGGAUAUUUCACGGCAUUGCUGUUGGGGCAGCUGUAGCCGUGGCUAUCGGAGCUCACGCUUACCUUUAUCUCCGCCGUCCUGGGAAGUUUCGGACGCGGGUCGUUGGAAUUAUACCCGCCCGUUUUGCUUCCUCUCGCUUCCCGGGCAAGCCACUUGUUCAGAUCCUCGGCAAACCCAUGAUCCAGGUCCUACUCACGACCCUCUUUACUUACCCGCCCCUCAAUUUUCUAUAUUUUUGUGAUUAAAUUUUCAUUUCUGGAGAUUGUUGCAAAAGGUUGACGAUUCAUGAUUUAUUAGUUCCCAACUUUCCUGGCGUUGUUUUAUGUUGAUUGUUCAUUUGAAUAUCAUCACCACGCUAUCCAGAUGGUGAAAAAAUAAACAUCGAAAAAAGAUGAAUAGAAAGAAAGUGUGAUAAACCUUGGGAGGCUAUAUAUUUUUUGCAUGAACUGCUACUGAGAUUUUCUUAUGCUGAUUUAUCAGAGAACAUGGGAAAGGGCUAAAAUGGCUUCCUCAUUGGACCAUGUUGGUAGGGCUUCAUCUUGUAUAAUCUGUUGUGCAUUUAUAUGGUGUAUUCUAUAUUUUAGGCUUAAUUUUUCUCGUGAUUAAUUGGAUUUUUUUUGUGGUAUAGUGGUGGCAACGGAUGAUGAGAAAAUUGCUGAUUGUUGUAGAGGAUUUGGUGCUGAUGUGAUAAUAACAUCAGAGUCUUGCCGAAAUGGUAUCAGUCUGUUUCCUUUGUUGUGCUUUUCUCUCUAGUUUUGAACGUGUUGACAGUGUAGCUGUAUAUACUUGCUGAUGUGCAGGCACGGAGCGGUGUAACGAAGCUCUUCAAAAGCUGGAAAAGAAGUACGAUAUUGUUGUUAACAUUCAAGGAGAUGAACCUUUGAUUGAACCUGAAAUUAUAGAUGGCAUUGUCAAAGCCCUGCAGGUGAAGUUGGUCAUUUUGAUUUCUUUUCUUCUACUGGAUUAGAACAUUAGAACAACAAAUAGGCUAUUGAAUCUCUUACUUAUGGAUGCCAACAAAUACUUAAUGCUGUAGAAUGUAUCUGCAGUAGAAGGUUAUAUUUGGCUCAUUGGGAAGCAUCUGAUGUUUAAAUCUGACUUUCCAACAAAUAGUAAGGCGUUAGAAAUAAGCUUUUCUCACUCUAUGACUUUGUGCGAGUCCAACAGGCCCAACGCUCAGUGACGUGAAUUCUCUUAUUAAGAAGUAUUCCAAUUUUUUUUCUUUUGAACCAUGCUGAGAGGAAAGGAACUGGGCAUAACUCUCAGUGAAGUGAAUUUCCUUAUUAAGAAAAAUUUUGAUUUUUCAUCUUUUGAACCAUGCUGAGAAGAAAGGAAGCUAUUCCCAUAGCAUUUACUAGCUAUACACUGGAAAAAAAAUACUAGCUAUACCCCCUGCUGAGGCAUAACCUUUUAAACUUUAUUUUCCUGUCAGUUUGUGACCACCAAGAAGUAACCCUCUAAAUUAGCUUAGAGAUACAUAUCUAUCAGAGCUUGUUUUUUUAAAUUACACUGCUUGAGUUUUGUUUUAUAUUGUAACCAAUGUUAACUUCCAUUGAAUGGUUGAUUAGGGUGCCCCGGAUGCUGUUUUUAGUACUGCAGUGACUUCCCUGAAGCCUGAAGAUGCAUUCGAUCCGAAUCGUGUGAAAUGUGUGGUUGAUAACCAUGGUUAUGCCAUCUAUUUUUCACGGGGGCUCAUUCCAUUCAACAAGUUUGUGCUCUAAAUUCUACGAUUCGGCUGCAAUUACGCUGCUAAUGCUAUAGACACUAAAUCUGGAAUCAUUUCUGUCUUAUGGAUACAGGUCAGCAAAUGUUAAUCCUCAGUUUCCAUAUUUGCUUCAUCUUGGGAUUCAGGUACCGGCAUGAUAUCAUUUUGUUUGCACGUGCCACUGUAAGAGCCUAGAUUAACCAUGUAAUUACAAGUUUUGACUCUGUCUUUUUAAUGGCCAGAGCUAUGACUCAAAGUUUCUAAAGAUUUAUCCUGAAUUGACACCAACACCACUUCAACUGGAAGAGGAUCUCGAACAACUGAAAGUCCUUGAGAAUGGCUAUAAGAUGAAGGUGCAAUGGAGAUUCUCCUUGUUUCUUGUUCUUUUGAAUCUUUUCUGUGCUUUAUUUUAAGUUUUCUUUCAAAUUCUUCUCCCAUUGAAAUAAGGAAUAAAAUGAAAAAUGGAUAAAGUUCAUUGCAGCCUUCGUCCCUCAUGCUUCCUUUUACUACUUUUGGUGUCAUAAAUUUUCCCCGGAGGCACAGGAUGAGGCAGUUAAAUUCCUUGUGUAGUAAAAUGGACUCGAUCCCCACUUCUGUAUAACCUACUGCAGUUAUUGCACAUUCAUGCAGACAAAAAGAAGCAUAGAUUUGAGUUCAUAAUAACAGCAGGUUUCAUUAAUAGAAAGAAAAGCGAAGUUGUCCCACAUGAGUUCCUAAUUAAGAAUAGAUUUGAUGGGUACAUUCUUUAUCCUCAUAUAGUACCCUUUUUAUUGUUCUUUUUCGCUUUGUAGGUGAUAAAAGUAGACCACGAGGCCCAUGGAGUAGAUGCCCCUGAAGACGUGGAGAAGAUAGAACAUUUCAUGCGCGAGAGAAACUUGUCGUAAUUGUGGAUGAUUGGAGAAAUCAUCAAGGGUUUUAAGUGCACAGUUCACUUAUUACUUUUAGUUAGAGACAGAAAAUAGUUUAAGAACCAUGUGGGCGGUAAAGAUACAUAGUUUCAAAUGGUAAAGUAACUGAUGUAAAUUUGAUUUAGUAGUCUGUUUUGUGUUUGAUGCUUUGGUCCUAGUGGGGACUCAUGACUGUUCUGGAGCUUCUCUAAAAGGGUUCAGAAGUGUAAUUUGUUGACUUAUUUGCUAUAUUUGUUUGAGCGAAUAAAGCUGCGUCAUAUUCCGUCUGAUCGAGAUUGGGAGUUCUUGGUAUGUAUCAGAGCAGGAAACUGAUUUUUGAAUUACAACAGUAUAUUUUGUCAUUCUAGUGUUUUGGAAUUUCUAAUUUAAGACUAUUUACUCUGUACAAAUUAUUAAUUCGAUGUUGGGAUGAUAUGCAAGAGAAACAUUUUACCAAGGUAGUGUUGAGUGUAAGACUGCUAAGGAGUCGAGUUGAGUUUUGAACUUAUCGAGUUGAACUUGUUAAUGUGCGAGCUCGAGUUCAAGCUCGAGCUUGAACUGAAAAAAUGAAACUCGAACUUGACUCGGCUUAGGAAAAGGUGAGUUCGAACUCAACUCGUUUCUGACUUCCAAGCAGUUUGAGUAUCACUCCAUAUUCUGGUUCGCUAGGAGCUUGAAGUGAGCUCGAUGUUAAUUGAUAUAGGGAUAUUUUUAUAAUUUCACUUCAAUUUGAGCUUUUCAAACGGUUCGUUGAGUAAUCGAACCUAACAAAUGGUUGCUUGAGCUCGAUUCGUACAUACUAAUGCUCGGCUCUAACUUAGUGUUGAUCUAGCUCAAAUCGAGCUACUCGUGAGCCUGUCAAUUUCAACCGUAGUUGUUUGGAAUGGAAACUUGAAACUUCUCUGUCUUGUCCUCCAAAAGCCAGAAGGGAGAUAACGUCCCGGAAAUGGAGCCACAGCAGGGAUAUGACUACAGAGUGCAAGAGUUGAAGCGUGAAAAUAAGAGCGGCGUCCUCAAUCCUCAUGUCAUCAUCCAUAUUUGAAAUCGUAGCCUUUGCAUUUACUCUGGAUCUAAAUUAAUACUUAUUAGUCCUAUCGAAUCCUUCGAGUGGGCCUUUGCUUUUACUCUGGGUCUAAAUUAAUACUUAGUGCCUGUUUGAUAACAUAAAAAAAUGCUAAAAUUGAAUUCAUUUAGACAUUCAGAUAUUGUAGGUGUUUGAUAAAUAAAAAUUCACCUGCUGAACUUAUUAAGUGGUGCUGAAUUUGUAUGUAUUUUUUUCAGCACAAGAAUCGUAGUUGAAUGCUUAAUUUGAUAAGAGUCAAGAGAUUUACUUCAACUAUUUUAUCUUAUCUAUCAAAUAUAUCCCUGUUUGUUAAUUACCUUCAAAAUCCUUAUUUAAUUAAACAACCUAAUAUUCCCUAUUCAAAAUCCUUAUCUAAUUAAACAAAACAACCUGAUAUUCUCUAUUUAAAUUUUUUUUUUAACAAUAAUAUUUUUUUGCAGUAAUUUUCAUCCACAAACAUUUAUAUUUUGAUUUUUUUUGUGCAGAUAAAUAUUAUUUAUGUGAUGCAGUUUAUCCACACACACGUGGCUUUAUGACACCAUAUCGAAAUAUUAGAUAUUGGUUGUCUGAUUUUCAAAAUGCUUCUCAUCCAAGAUCAAAAGAAUAACGCUUUAACCAAGUACAUGCAAGAUUGAGAAAUGUAAUUGAACGUGCUUUUGGAGUAUUAAAAGCUCAUUUUCCCAUUCUCAAAACAAUGAAACCAUACCCUUUUCCCACACAAAAAAACAUUUAUGCAUUACUCUUCACAAUCAUUGUUAUUUUCAUACCUAACAAUUUUAAGUUAAUUAAACCAUAGGUUCUAUUUCCUUUUUGGAUUAAAAGAUAAAAGGGCAAAAUUGUAUAAUUUAGCUUAUUAAGCAUUAAGUUAUGAAUAUUUAUCAAACAUUAUAAAUAGAUUCAGCAUUAAAAUUCAGACAUUCAUAUAUCUCUUUUCAGUGUUUAAAAUUCAGCAAAUUAAUUAUUUCAGAAUUCAGAAUUCAAAAUUCAGAUUCAGUGUUAUCAAACGGAGCCUUAGUCCUAUUGAAUCCUUCGAGUGAAUAUCCCCAAAUAAAAAAAAAAACUUUUUGAGUGAAUAAAACUCAAAAUAAAGGAGCUGCUAAACUCGUAUUUUGGGCCACUACGCCGACUUCUAUUUGAAGGUUUAACCACAAGAAUGUAAUGCAUAGCGGUCGAACAAAGCCGCAUGAUUCUAAUUGUAAGAAUUUUUCAGGCUUUAAUAUUGUGAUACUAUCUAACAUUCAAUUCAACUUGUUGAAAAGAAUACUACUGUAUAUAGAAUGCAACAUUUCAGAUACAUGUAAUAAAUUAGUACUACACAACCCUUCUUUUUUUUUUUUGAAAAAAUUAGUACUACACAACUCAAUGAUCAUGUUGAAAGAAAAUUGCCUUCCAGAAAAGGCUGAGGUUAGGGAGAGGGGACACGCGAGGACCACGGCUCUAUAUUUAACAUCUUUUGGGGUACAGAAUGAAGUAAGCUAUCCUGGGAAACUGGACACUCUUUUAAAAUUCAUUGCUCCGUCAAAUCCCAAAAAUGAUACCGUACAGUAAUAAUAAUGAUUCAAAGCGUGUUGUGUUCAAUUCAUAUAGCCUUUGCGGAUACUCAUGUUGUAUGUUACUGUAGUGAAAUUCAUAACCAGAAGCAGAAGAAGCCAGCAGGCCACAGGCAGGGAUCCAGAGAGAGCAGGGGGUUAGGCAGCUGGAUGAUGAACAGGUAUGUAUAUCUCUUGUCAAUCAACAAGCAGAUAAGACAUGUCAAAUUGUCCAAUUGCUCCCCUUGUACCAAAUCCCUGGAUUUCGUUCCCUUUUAUUAGUCAAGUGCCCAUCUGAACUAAUGCACUACUGUCCAGUCGAAGGCCAAAUAAUUGCAGAAACAAAAAGACAGAAUAAAAAAAAAUGGGAAGAAGAAGCAAAUUUCAUACUCUCAUUUGUCAUUUCCUUCUUGGAUUGGGUGAUGAUUGGAUCACAUUUUAGACAAGAUCAAAACUUUAGAGCUUCUUCUUGCAGAAAAUAAGGACAGGAAUUAACUAUGUACGACUAAAAAUGCAAUUGAAGAUAAAAAGCAUCGCAUUUGCAUUCGUUACGCUGAAACUCUGACAAAGUCUAAGAAGCCCUAAUACUAAAUUACUAAUCCUAAAAGCAAAGAUUGUCAACAGUGCUCAAUUUUUGGUUAGUUGGGGGCGGGGGUUGGGGGGGGGGGUGCUGGGUUGUUGGGGCUGGGAGGUGUGAAAUAUCGUUCAGUUCAAUUGAUAACCAGCUGAACUUCAGUCUUGAAUAGAAGAAAAGACAGCGAAUCCAAAGAGAAAUACACAAACCCGCCUGGUGAAUGUGUGACAAAUGACCCGAAACUCUUCCCCACUACACAGUGCCAUGCCGGCCCAUACAACCCAUCAAACUCCUGUGUGAUUUUAAUAAAUCAAAUCAACAACCGACAACUAUUCAUUAAGGAGUUCGAAAAUUCAUUUAUAAUUGAUGGGUAGUUGUUAGUAAUAUUCAGUACCUUUUUGAGGGAACGAGCGAGGAGGGCGGGGCUAAGUCGAUGAGUCUGAGGAGUGGCGGCACCGGAGGUACCAGCAGCGACGAGUGAUCGGGUGUAGCGGAGUGCAUGCUCUUGCAUGGACACGGGCAUGUCUGAGGUUCUUAAUCGCACGUUUAGGCUGAUUGCUAUGGCUGCUAGCUUCAGUUCUUGUUCUGAUAGAGAGUUGUUGUUCUUCUCCUUGCUGUUGUUGUUGCUUUGAUCAGAAACAACAGGAAGCUGCUGCUGCUGCAACAUUUGUAAUGGUUUCUGAGGUCUUGACUUAGAGGAAGCUGCUGCUGCUGAUGAGAAUUGCAUGACUUUGGGUUGGGACUGCUGAUGGGAUUGAGAAGGCUUAUUUUUGGACUUGUUUUGAGUUGUUUCUUUCAUGAUUGUUAGAGGCGUAUGAAAAGAAUUGUUAGAGGUGGAUAAAGACACGAGAGAACUAGAGAAGAAGAGUUGUAGAAGCAGAGUUGAACUUUUUGACCGGGGAAAUAUGUGGAGUAGUUGGGGUUGGAGGAUUGGAAAUUGGAAUAUAAAGAAAGAUUUGAACUUUGACUGACAAUACAUGGUGAUAGAGACAGCAGCAGGCGAAAAAAAAAAAAACAGAUGAUAAUCCAAAUAGAGAAAAAUGCAAGACCUGCAAGAAUUAAUAAUUAGACUUGGUUGUGUUUAUUGCAAGUUCAUUUUUUUUUAUUUUCAAUUUUCUGCAAGGCUUUCUGUGUCUAUUUGGAUUUUGAGGAUUAGAGUUGGUGCUCCGCCCGGUGAAGAGGAGGAAAAAUACAAGUACACUGGACACUGCCUGGGGGAUGGUACACAAGAAAAGUGUGGGAUCAUCAAACCACAUAAAUGGUGUGGGGCGCAGCAGUUGCUGCAGCUGCGGACCAGUCUAAUUUUGUAGUACCAGCCAGUUAGGUUGGUGCUUUCCCUUUCCCAUUGCUGAAGAUUUCUCAUGAAUUACCAGCCGGAGUGACGGUUAAUCAAUCAACCCUCUUAUGGUUGUUUUCCAUUUUGCACUGAGCUAAGAGUAGAUGAUGAGUUUAACUUCCCCCUCAGAGUUCUCAAUAAUGCACUCCAAUUACAGUGAAUGUUUUUGAAACAUUUCACUGUAACUGCAUAUACGAAAAAUUUUUACUAUAAAAAUUUUUAAAAAUUUUUAAUAUAUUAUAUGAAUGAAAUAUUUUUUAAAUUAUUAUGCAUUACUGUAACAUUUUAUUUGAAAAGAAAAAUUUGCUAAAUUGAUCCCUAAUAUUUUCACAAAAAAUUUUUUUAAUCCCUAACAUUUAAAAUCAGUCAGAAUAGUUCCUAACAUAUAAAUUAUGAACCAAUUUGAUUCUAAUGCUCGUAUUUGCUCAUUUCUCUGAUUAAAAAUAGCACACCUCUAUCACGUGGGUAUAAUUUCAAGGGCAAAAUCGAAAAACAUUCGUUAUCCAUGGUUUUACAGGCAAAACCCUUUUUGGAUUCCUAUUAAUUUUCUCCCUUCCCUCGACACCAUUUUGCAAACUAGCCGGAAACUAUCAACAAAUUUCACCUUCUCAGUCAAAGCAGCUUUUGCACUUUCCUUGAUUUCCCGACUCCCGUAUCAAACCCCCAAGCCCUUCUUCAAUUUCACCAUACCUCUCAAAAUAAUUCAACAAAGUCUCAGAACUCAUCUCAGUUGGUUGGUAUAUUCUCCACCAAUUUUAUUGCUAACAAACCCAUCAAUUUUAUUGCUGGGGUUUUCUAGGGCAAGCAAGAAAGACUCAACAUUCUUGAAAGUAACAAAAUCAUAGACUUUUGAUAAAAAUCUUGCGGUAGGAUGGGAUGUCAUCAACGAUGGAAAUAACGGUAUGGAGAAUGCUAUGAUGGACAAUCGCAACUUCUGAAGGAUUCAACAAUUUGGGAUUUCGUGAAGGAUUGCAAAACGCAAAAUUUCACCUUCUUCGAACUUCAAGUUUUUUGGUUCUCUUGAGAUCAUCAGGCUUUGGUUUAGUGGUGAUGGUGGAAUGCAUCUGAUAGAGUAGGUAUAAGGAAAAUGACUCAAGAUUGACUCUAGGAGGAAUGGGUGGAGUUACGGAAGAGUAGGCAUUGAGAACUUUUAAACUUUGAAGAGAAUAUUCUCUUUCUUUCAGAGUCUAAAGCCAUGGAUUAACGAAUAUCUUUCGAUUUUGUCCUUAAAAUUAUAUCCACGUGACAGAGGUAUGUUAUUUUUAGUUAGAAAAAUGAGCAAAUAUGAGCAUUAUGAUCAAAAUGACUCAUAAUUUAUAUGUUAGAGACUAUUCUGACUGAUUUUAAAUGUUAUGGACUAAAAAAAAUUUUUACGAAAAUAUUAGGGAUCAAUUUGACAAAAUUUCCUUUGAAAAAAUAUCCAAUCCAAACGGAGAGAUUUUUUGUCCGUUGGCAUCGUCCAUUUUUAGUGACAAGAUAUUAGUCCAACGUCAAAGGAAUCAGAGCACAGUGAUGUGUUCUGCUUCUACAUGCUAAGGUCCUUGUUUCAAUGAUUGCUUUGUCAUUAAAUUUUCUUUUUUGAAAUGCUCUUUGGACAUAUUUUAAAUUUUUUUUUCUCGCAUACAUCAUCAUAUAAUUGUGUUUGGAUUACAUUUUUUUAAAUUUUUUGUAAAAAAUUACUAUAACGAUUUGAUAUAUGUAAAGUAAAAAGAUGAUUGAGAAAUGUGUUCAUGAAAAAUGUAGCAAUUUUUUUUUUGGAAACUGACAGUCCAAACAAGGCCUUUUAUCUAUAAAAAUUACGCCAAACUAUUGCCUUGACAUAUCUUGAGAUAUUAUAUAUGUAAAAUAAUUUUUUUAAAAAAAAUUGUAACCAUGAUCUAAAAAAAUGUUCAAUGGAUUUUUCAAGAAUGUAAAAAGGGAUAAUUUCAAAAACCUCGCUUGACACCUAAUUCCCCUAUACUUUUUAAAAUCUCAAUUAGCACCCUUGAAAUGAUAGUAUGGCCAUAUACUAAUAUCAAAGGUGAUGAAUUGUCAAUAAUGCCAUCAUAUUUAAAUUUUCUGAACUUGUUUUUCUUUCUCUAAAUUUCUUACUUUUCUUUAACAAUGUCAAUACAAACAUACAUAUAUAUAUACAAACAUAUAUAUACAUAUAUAUAUGUAUGUAUGUAUACAUAUAUACAAACAUACAUAUAUAUGUAUGUAUGUAUAAUUAAAUUGCAAAUGUCAAUAAAAUAUAGGAUUUAAUCAAUGAAAUAUUCAAUGCAUUUGGAGAAGAAUAGCUGCAGGUUCUUUUUAUUGUUUUCCUUUUUGGUGUUUAAUAACUUUAUUUAUUUAUUCUUAUUCAUGUAGAGCGCAUGAGAAAUAAAGUAAUUGAAACUCCAAAUAGUUUUUCAAAUUCUGACUUUUUCUAUAAUAAAAUUUUCAUAUUUUACACUCAUAAAAAAAGUCUGUCUAUUUUGAGUAAAUUUUUUGUAUGAUAUUGAAGUUGAAUUUCAUCUGUUACUAAGUUUUUUUUUGCUCAAAUGUAUGAUUUUACAUGUUAAUUACCUUCAACGCUAUGAAGGGUUUUAUUUGUAGAAAUGAUUUAAAAAAUAGUAUUUGCUUUUACUAUCUCUUUCUACCGUAGAAGUGACUAUUGGUUGUAAUUUAAAAUCUAAUCAAUUUUCAUCUCCUCACUUUUAAGAUGGUUUCAAUUUAGUACUUUUUUUUCCUUGGUUUGUAAAAUGUUCAUUUUUUUAUAGCCUAAGGGUAUUAAAGGCACUAAAAUAAUCUCUCUCCUCAAACAUGAAUUUUUUAAUAUUACUUUUAGUUAGAAGGGUUUCCAAUGUUACCAAAAUGUCAAUUCAAGGGGUGCUAAGUGAGAUUUUGAAAACCUCGAAGGAGCUAGGUGAUAUUUCAUAAAACCUCAGGGGAGGUUUAUGAAACUAUCCCAUGUAAAAACAAAACCAGGAGAAAAAACAAUAAUAAGUCCAAACAACGAACGAGUGACACGUGGCCCGAUAUUCCCCACACUCCUCAUCCAUCUAAUCUCAUAUCCCCAACACUCCAACAGACUCAACUCCGCCACACACAUUCACACACACACACCACUCUUUCCUCCUCCACUUCAUUUUUCCUUUGUAAAUAUCCGAAUCAAAAAUAAAACCAAAAAGAAUCGAAAAAUCAAAGAAUCGGAACCAGAAACUUAUCAACAAAACCUCUGUUCUCCCGGGAUGGCAGGCGUUCUCGAAACCCUAACCGUACCACGCGCCGCGUCUCUGCCCUCAGCUUCCUUGGCUCCCAUCCCCGGCUCUCCAUUCUCUACCAGCCGCAUCAGGUUUUCCGAGUUUAGAGGACUUAAGAUCCAGUCGACUAGGCCGUCGUCCUCCGCCUCGCUCAGUUCAAAUGCCAGACUCGCUCGCCGUGGAAGUCGAAUUGUUUGCGAAGCUCAGGAUACCGCUCUAGUAGGUUAGAUUAUUUCGAACUCUUUGCUUUUGCUUUUUAGAAACGGUUCUUUGUUUUUUAGCUUCUGUGUAUACUCAUGAUAUCUGAAAUCGAAGUUUAUAUUGAAUUGGAUUGUUUGUAGCUUCUUUGUUUAGGUUGAUUUUAAAAUAUGUGCUGGAAUUUGCGUGAAUCUGCUUGGCGAAUUUUAUGCAGGAGUUGAGGUGGUAAUUUCUGUUCGACUGUCGAACUUAAAUUUGAUUGAAGUGCGAAAUUCGCUUGUAGCUUAAUCCAAAGUCACUGGUAAUAUUCGCUUUUGAAAAUGUGACUGGAGAAUUGUGUAUCUACUGUCGUGCAACUCAAGAGUUAAUCAUAGCGAGAAUCUUUUCCCUCAGCAUCAUUCAGAGCAAGCUAGAAUUGUAGUCAGGAAAAGCAACUUGCAAUUGAGAAUUAUAGUAGCAGAUAAUUUGACUCGUUACACGCAUAUGGUCCGAGUCUUUCUCUAAUCUUAGUUAGGACGGUUACUAAUAAAUUGUAUUUGUAUUCAGUCUAUCUGGUUCCUGUCGUGGGGAGUUAUUCCUCCUUUUGGGAACUAAUUUUAUGGAAUUAUUAGUUUUAAGGGACUGUGUACAUUUCUGACCGUCUUAUAUGAAGAUCUCUAGGACGUUAUUGGUUAAGUUAGGGGCUUAUACGACUAUAAGCUAACUUCAAUUUGAUGUUUUCUUUUCCUGUUCUUUUGUUUGCUUUACGUUUUCAUUUGUAUGUUGUUUCCACAAACUUAGCUUACAUAGUAUAGUCCUUUCCCUGAAUAGUUGGAUUUUAAGGAGUUAUUGUGCUCAAAGUGCAAACUUCAUCUUAGAACUUCGCUGGAAACAUUUUAUAUAGAAAUGCAUUCUUAAGGUGGAAGAAUAGUUUCUUUAAAAAUAUCAGGCUCUGAAAUCAUUAUUGAAUUUGCAGACCCUGGGCGACAAUCUUUGUGAAUGACAUAAGCAGCCAAUUUUGUUUUUCUUGUGAGCUUCUUGUUUUGUAUGUCUAUUUAUGCUGUCUGAGAAUGCGUAAAUAGUGAAGAGUAGUUGCAGGAACCAAAUAUGCUCUCAUUAGACAUGUAGAAAAGAUUUAUCUGACAAUGGUAGGGCUUCCUAUUCUAGAGAAGAACUUUUUGGUAGUUUUUCCUUACCGGUGUUUGUAAGCAUAUCCCCUAUGUGUAUGUGUUGUCUUCUUCUGUAUCCACACUUAUGGUGUAUGUUGAAUCUGUAUUCUUCUUCAUAAUUGAUGAAUCAAAAUGGCAAACUAGUAUAGCUUAGAGCGCUGAUAAAAGUAAGAUUCUCGUCUUUUGAAUAGUGAUUUCUUGCAAUUCCAAUUGUGGCUACAGAGAGAAGUAUAUGGAAACAAAAAUGAUGGCUGGUGAUCUGCUCCUAUUCUCUAUGUUGGCUCUUGAAAAUGGAUCUGUUGUUGGUUAUUAUCUUAUCCUGUUUUGCAAUAUCUUUUUCCAAAGUCCAAGAGUUUAUGUGAUAUUGGCUUAGUGCUCAUAUAAGUUUUAAAACAAAUACAUUAUAAUUUGAUGCUUUCUCCUUCUUUAUCCAACCACCAAAUGAGAUGUUACUUUGAGAGGCAGGCGCUGGUGCUCUUUUAAGUUUCCGUCAGCGCGACCAUGGAUUUAGACUCUGGUUGAAGAAUUUCCGAUACAGAUAACCCUGUUCCAAAUUCAUGAUCUGCUACUCAAUUUCUAGGAUUUUUGUGGGAAACUGGUAAAUAAAAAUUUAAAAUUGUUCUUUGGUUCUUGAAUAAAUUGCAGUCCCACCUGUCAAGGAUGAUACGUGGCAGUCACUGGUACUAGAUUGUGAUUCACCUGUUCUGGUUGAGUUUUGGGCUCCAUGGUGUGGGCCAUGCCGCAUUAUUCACCCCGUAAUUGACGAGCUGGCUAAGGAGUAUGCUGGUAAACUUAAAUGCUACAAGGUUAAUACAGAUGAUUCCCCUGGAAUUGCAACUAAAUAUGGGAUCCGAAGCAUCCCAACUGUAAUGAUUUUCAAGAAUGGAGAAAAGAAAGACGCUGUCAUUGGUGCAGUUCCAAAACAAGUAUUGACUACUAGCAUAGAAAAAUUCUUGUAAAGUGGCGGGUAUCCUGUCCAUGAUGUUUCACGAGCAGAUUCAAUAAUCCUAAGAUGGUUCUGUAUAGAUGGAUGCUACUGCAUUCCCUAUUUGUAUUGAGAUAAUCUUGGUUACUAAAGUUUUUACAGUUUGACGUUGUCUUUUAGAAUUAAUUCUGUAUGCCUUUUUUUUUUUUUUUUUUUUUUUUUUUUUUUUUUUUUUUUGAGAAGAGGACAUCUCUCACUGUGAAAUUGGUUUUCCUCACUUUAAAGCUGCUUCUGCUAUUAUCUCCAAAAUACCUGCUGCACGUGGACAAAUGCAGGGGCAUUAUAGAGGCAUGCUUGCUAAACUACAGAAAUCUUUGAAGACUGGAGCAAGCCAUGCUACUCAUGUUCAGUGAAAUCCUGGUUCCUGUUUCCUUUUCACUUUUUUGUUGUCGAAUCUUACAUUGACAAAUUGGAGCAAACUUGACGAUACUUCGAAGUUCGAAUGAAUUUAGUACUUCGAAGUGAGGUGACUUUUUAGUAAAGAUUUAGGCUGGCCUCUCCCUCUGGGCUUUGUGACCAUGGAUGUGGGCUGGGUCUAGCUUUGUCAUUUGUAAAGGAAAAACUGCAGGAGCAGUUUUCUCCGCUACAUUUGCCUAUUUCACAAACGUGGGUAUUAUUAGCAACAUGUUGACGCUGAGGUCCGAGAGAGUCCAGUAACUAUUUCGGAACAACUUUUCAGUUUUCAUCCCUUAGAAAAAUUAUGAUCAAUAGUUCAAUUAUCAGGAUAGUCCUUUUUUUUUGGUGGAUGGAGAAGAGACCUACUCAUUGUACCCAAUAUUGCUUAUGUAUGGAAAUAGAAAUUAUGAAGGAUUAGCAUAGGACAACUUUUAUUCAAAUACCAAUAUUACCCUCAAUUAUUCAACGUCAUGUACUCCUAUUGAUUUUGUUGGGUCCAUUGUUGACUAGAUACCAUUUUCUUCCUCGUUUUCAAUAACAUAGCAUCAAGUUUUUUUUUUUUUAACUUUCCCUUUCAUUCCUGGCUUUUGAUAUCUUUUUUACAAUUUCUUUUGAUUUUUUUGAAAACCUUUGCAGUAUGUGGUUUAAGACCUUUUGCAUAAAAUUUUCUCCGCUUCAGAGUACUCUUAUUAUUUCUCUAUUGCUAUUGGUAAGUUUUUUCCUGCAUUUUUUCUUUUCUUUUUGCUUUUAUUCCAUUAUAUUUUCUAUCAAAUAAUCUAUGAUUACAGUUUUUGGAGUGAUCAUAAAUUUUGAUUAAAUUUGGGAUGCAAUUAUAGUAAAUUUCAAGUUCGCAAUUUUUUGAGUAAUAUUUGUUACAGCAAUAUUGUUGGAUUUUUUGUUUUCUUUUCUUUUUUCUAUUUUUUAAGUUGAUAAUUCUUGACUUCGUCACCUAUCCUUAUUUUCUAAUAUCUAGAUCAAAGUCAUUUUAAUCUACAUUUUUUGAAGGAAAAAGUGUGUCUACAUCUUGACUUCAACACGUGAAUAUUGAAGGAAAAGUGUACCUACACUUUUUUGGAUUAUUUUCAUUUGAACUGUUUGAGUUAAAUCAUGGUGUACGGUACCUACACUUUUUGGAUUAUCUUCACUUAGAGUGCUUGAGUUAAAUCAUGUUGUAUUUGCAAAAAAUAACUUAUAAACACAACUUUUAAAAAUAAAAAAAAGAAUUACAAUAUAAUAAAAGAUUAUGGUAAAAAAGUUAAAAUUGAAUGAGUGAGUUAUGAAAAUAACAAGUAAAUAAAUUAAAGAAAGCACAAAAAAAAAAAAUUUGCAGACUAGUCAAUUGAUUAGAAAGAGGAGAAAAGAGUAAUUAUUAGUAGAUAAAUGGGUCUAACAAAAUCAAUGAAAAUAUAUGAAGUUGAUAGGAAAAUAAAUUAUUGUUCUGACAGUAGUGUAUCACCAACCAACCAACCAAAACUUGCCGAGAAAGCUGGCUCAGGCAAAAAUGAUUGAAAGAUCUAAACAAAGAAGAGAAGGAUAAAGUCGGUUGCUAUCUUAUCUCCAUCAUCAACGAAGAGGGAAGCAGUAGGCUACCACUACCAGCACUCAACGUCAAAAACAGCUGGGCUGUAUGUUCAGACGUCGAAGUCUUAUCCAUGGGAGCGCUCACUCGCCUUUACUAUGCCCGCUAUACUACGUCACAUCAAGUUGUCAUUUUAAAUUGCAGGCGUUUACCCUGCUGCUGCAACCAUUAUAAUUAUUCUGUGCUUCUUCUUGUGAACCGAUAAGAUGAGGGAGAUCGAGUUUGGGACAAAAAUGGUUGUCAGCGAUCCUCAAUACAAUACAAUCAUGCCUCAACACUCUCUGUUAUAUGAUCGAGUUUCUUAUAAUGAUGUUCCCAUCCUACCACGUAAUCCAAUGGCAGCCAUGUAAAUGUUUCUCCUCUUCUUGACCGUCAAUUCUUGGCUUUGAAACUUUUUCUGUUUCAACGUCACCUGGGAGAAAAAAUCGAAUCCGAGGGUUCUGUUUGGAUUGUAAUUUUUAAAUUUUUUUUAUUAAAAAAUUAUUAUAAAAAUUUAAUAUUUAUAAGAUAAAAAAAUAAUUAAAAAAUAUAUUUACAAAAAAUAUAAUAAUUUUUUUUUUAAAAAAAAUGACUGUCCAAACAAAAUUUAUUUUGAACCCAUUACAUAAAUAUUUAGACCAUAGAAAUUCAGGUUAUAAAAAGGCCAAUCCUGUUCAUACAAGCUGCUUAGAAGCUUUUUGUUCAAAUAAUCUUCUAUUCAAACAGAACCUCUGAAGACGAGAAAACUUUCGGUUUUUGUCGGGGCAUCCACUCGUACGUUCUCGCCGACACGAAACAAAUGAAAGGACAAGAGCCGUCGGUCUCAUCCAUAUUGGGCGGUGAAAGAUUCCUUUCUGCGUUGUGUUACUGUGUUAGACGGCAGUCUCAUCUUAAUUAGUGUGGCCCUACUCUUAAGCCCUAAGGACAUCAUCCGUCUUCUGGUCUUAAGGUGCGUUUAGCCUCUCAGCUUUGGUUCUUCUCGCAUGAUCAGUAAAACGAUUAGUUUGGAAUUUUUUUUUUGGAUAUUUUAAGAAAAAUUAUUACAACAAUUUAAUAUAUAAAUAUAUAAAAUAAAAAAAUAAUUAAAAAAUGUGUUCAGAGAAAACGUAGUAAUUUUAACGUAGUAAUUUUUCAGAAAAAUUACUAUCCAAACAAGGCCUUUUUUCCAAGUAUUCAGAUUCUCAUUGUUGAAAUGAUAUUUUGAGGAAUGCGCAAAAAAGUAUUAAGAAAAGUAAUGCAUGAAUCCCUAAAGGCAAAAAUUUUGGCCUAAAUUCUUGUUUGUAUUGCUCAAAAAAGAUUUUGGUUAUUUUGAAAAUAUUUUUUCACGCCAUUAUAUCACAUCACAAAAACGUAAUAUUACAUUAUUAUUUUAGAAAACUACCAAAUACAAUCCAAACGGGGUCUUAAGAUUCCGUGCCAAUGUAAACACAUCCUGAGAUCAUGUUGUGCCAUGUGAUCGUUGAUUAGGAAGACAAUAAUAUGCUAAUACCUUUCCUCAUUCUUAUUCUUUAUGCUUCAGCACAUUUUCAAUGACGAGUGGCACGGUAAACUCGAUAACCAUAUACAUUUAUGCAUAGCCCUGUGUUGGUCACUUUAUUUAGGAAAAAGCCAGUUUAGAUAGCCAUUUUUCAUCAACAAUUUUUACGUAAACAUAUUUUUCAAUUAUCCUUUUAUGUCAUGCAUUUCAAAUUACUACGAUACAUUUUCUGAAAACCUAUCGCAAAUCAUUUUGUGAUGUGAUUAAUAUCACCAAAGCACACUUGUCAUUUCCGAUUGUGUUCAUCUUAGGAGUUUACAUGGAAAUUGCCCUAAGGAAAAAUGAUAAAAAGACGUUAAAAAUUGGCUCAAUUUUAAUUAGUUAUUUUUUAAGGUGUUUUUGAAAAAUUUUACUACAACAGAGUUUUUAAAAUAUAUUUUGAAAUAUUUUUAGAAUAUGUUUUAAAAUAUCUAAGAGUAAUAAAAUUUUUAAAGUAUAUUUUAAAUAUUAAAAAAAUAAAUUACAUUUUAGAGUGUUUUUUAAAAACUUUUUAUAAUAUUCGAAAAACUAGUGGAUUCAAAAUUAUUAGUAGCGUAGCAUAGCACCAGAAGUCAACAGGGUGACAUAAUGCUGACUUCACGGGUGACAGACGUCGUUAGAUCAAAAAUGAUCCGACGGUGCACAAAGCUUGGUGGAGUCCUACCCAUCCCUCCUUUUUCUUUUUCAUUUAAGUUAAGUUUUUUUUUUUUUUUGUUGCUUCCACCAAAGUGGUCCCCAUCCCGACCCCACCUAUAUAUUCAAUUUCUAAUUUCCCAACCUGCUCAUCACCAGAAAAAUGAAAAAAAAAAAAUUGCAUCUUUAAAAGGAGAUAAGCCUUUUCCUCAAUUCACUUAAUCAAGUUAGGAAUAAAAGGAGCAAAGCACGCCGCCUGCCCACUUUCAAGGGCCCACCCGUCUUUUCCACCAAUUAUCAAUUUUGUAGCUUCUACUUUUAUAUAUAUACACGUGUGUGUGUAGAUAUCAGUUAAUCUUAUAUAUAUUAUUACAAUUAAAUAUAUAAAAUAUAUGUAAAAUUUAGAUUUAAAUUAUAUAUUAUAUAUUUAAUGAUAAAAAUAUAUAUCAUUAGUAUAUAAAAGAUUAAUUAUAUACUAUAUAUUAAAAAAAUUGUAUGAUGAGUUCGUCAUUUUAAUUGGGUAUGUUUUUUCUGCACUUGAGUAACAUAAUAGAAAUAAUCAAGAAGUAGAUAACCAAGUACCGUAUUCAAUCUCUAAUUUCCCAACCUGCUCACCAUCAGAAAGAGGGAAAAAACAUGUACCAUAUUCAGGAAGUGGAUAGGCCUUGCCUUCUCUUCAAUUUACUUAAUCAAGUAGACAAGUACGCACAAGUUAGGAAGAAAUGCCUGCCCAAUCUCAAGGGCCCACCCGUCUUUUUCAUCGAAUUUGUAUUGUAGUUUCUUCUUUACACACACACACACACACAUAUAUAUAUAUACAUACAUACAUACAUACAUAUAAGCUUUUGCGACGAGUCCAUCUUUUUUAUUUGGUGUACUUUUUUCUGCUCUUAAUUAAAAUUAUAGAAAUUGAUUUUAAUGAAUUAAUAUUUUUUGAACUUUUCGACAACUUUAACAUGAUUCAUAUGGAUCAACGGCAUUGACAAUCAUAUAUGGGUGAAAAAUAAAUUUACUUCUACGUUUCAAUUUAGUGUCUUAAUUUGUGAAACUUUGUGGCUUUUAGAUGAAUUUUGUGAAUAGAGAAAAUAGAUUAAUUCGAGGCACUGAUCUAAAUCGAAUGAAAUGAACAAUUCUAUGAGGUUAAAUUUCGAGUCAUUAAUGAAUUAUAAAUAACGAGAAGAUCAAAAUCUUCAAACGCUAAAAUCCUGGUUAAUUUCAGAUAGAAGCAAAUUUUUUUUUAAUUUUAAAAAGGGAAAAAUUUAUAAAAUAAAUGUUUCUGUUAGUCUUUUUAAUAAAUUACUACUUGCAUAGGUUAAUUUGACAUAGACACACAGUUUUUUUACUUUAAAAACUUAUAAAAAAUAAAUGUUUCCGUUAGUCAUUUUAAUAAAUUACUACUUGCAUAAAUUAAAUGUUUGAGUGUGACACACAAAAUUGAAUAAUAUUUUGAGUCAUUUUUUUUGUUUGGAUAGUGAACUUACCCCAAAUAAUAUUUUGCUUGCAUCAUAAACACAUUUUUCAAUCCACUUUUUUAUAUUUCCAACUACCUUUUUAUCUCACAUACAUCACAUCACAAAAAGUACUACAGUAAUUAUUUAUUUGCCAAAAUAUAUUUGCUUACAUUAUCAUUACAAUUUCCAACACACCUUUUUAUUUUUUCAAUUACCUUUUUAUCUCACAUACAUCACAUCACAAAAAGUGCUACACUAAAAAUAUCUCUAAUAAUUCACAAUCCAAACAAAUUAAUAUUUUAAAUAAUAUCCUAUCCAAACAAACCCCCAGCUGACAAAAUAAAAGCUACUUCCAACAAGUCGAAAUUAACCCAAGAACAGUUAGAUUAUAAAUACUCAGAGGUAAUCAAAAUCCUGAUGCGUAGCACGAUCCAAAGGUAUUAAUUGAAAAAAUAAAAGCUACUAGACUUUACUAAUUUUGAUCACAAUUCUAGGCUCCUACCAUACCUGUGCCCACGGCAACCUAACAAACAGCUACGCGGCUAUAACCCUAUAUCGCCUUUGGGCUUUUAUAUUAAACAGCCAUUUUCAGUUUUUCACAAUCUUUUCAUUCAUUUCAUAUUUCUUCGCCACUAUUUGCUCUCCACCAUAUCAUUUCCACUCUCCCUCUUCGCCUCCUCCUCCUCCUCCUCCUCAUCCGCCACCACAUUCCAUCCUCCUUCCCCAUUUCCUGAACUUUUCCUCCCCUUAUAUCUUCCCCUUAAUUUUCCUCAUUUGAUCGGCCUCCCUUCACUAGCCCAUUUCAAUUUUACUUCCACAUUCAUUGAUUUCUUAUCUUAUCUUUAAAUACAGACGCAAAAUAUAAAAGAAAACCGGCCCCCUUUUCUCCUUAUAGACAUUGCAAAGUCUUCUUCAGCUUAUCUUCUUCUGACAUCUUGACUGGUAGGCUUUUCUUUCUUUAUGUCUGGCUUAUUUGUAUCCUUUUGUUUUCUGGGAAUUAUUCUCUUGUUAUACAGAUCAUUGGGAAUUAUGAGAGAAAAAUAUGAUCCGUUCUUUAUCUGAGAAAAAUUGAAAUGAAAAAGUGUUUGUGGCUUGUUUUGUAAGUUAUGGCACGGAUUUUUAGUUUAUUUGGUAAGAAAAGGAAUAACAUCUUGGUCAGAAUACUUCACUGUUUUUGUGAUGGCGAAAUUUGAUUUCCGCGAAAUUGAAGUUUGAUUAUUUCCGGACUAAAGGGAUUUCCUGGUUAGCUCACUCUUUUGUAUAUUUUGUUUCUUUUCCUUUAAUCCUAAAUAUAUCUGUAAAAUUAGCUAGAUUGUUAUAUUGAUAACAAGAAAAACAAAAUUUUGUUCAGCUGGUAAUUGAUAGUCCUCUGCCUCAUGAAGUAAAUUGAUUAAAAAAAAAAACCGUACUUUUUUUCUGAAAUGGUGCCUUGUGUUUUUUUUUUUGUCCCGGAUGAAAUUAAAUUUUCUUGCUUUUUGUUACAUAGUGCUGUUAGGAGGGCUUUGAAUGUUCCUUUCUUCAUGAAUUCUGGAUUUGGUGGUAGCUUAUGAUCUAUUGACUGCCGUGCUGGAAGAUCACGGUAAAGGUUUAUCUGUGUUUGUUGGUAGUCCUUUUUCUUUUUCUUUGGCGGUGUGUAUAUAUAUAUUGAUAAAAAGUUCUCAACUUUGGUAAAAUUUUUGGUGUUUCAACAGAGGUUACAUCACAAAUCACUAGAAAUACGGAUCUUAGAAUCCUUACCUAUGGUUAUUUUUGCUGCAUAAGCCUAUUGGAAGGACAAGACUUCUUGUAGGACAAAGUCGUUAUCUUCCAUCCGGACCUGGCAAAAUCUCAAGCUGUAUAUAGGGAAGGAGAGAGAGUGGGAGUGCAUUUAACUUUUGUUCUCGGACUAAAUUCGAUUCCAUUUUCUACUCCAUUUGCCCUAGGCACACUAUAGUUGCUUUUUCUUGUUGAGGGUCAAUUGGUAAUGAUGUAUGCUCAGUUGUCUUUAAAAGAAGGGAGACACUGGGACCAACGCAAUUCCUAUGUGGUUGCAUGUGUUGAAUAUGUUAUUAACUUGGGCCAUUCUGGCAUAGAUACAUGUCUUCAAGCCAUUGCCUUUCCUUUUACACCAAUAUAUAAUACAUUUGCUUUUAUCUCAUAGUGUUUAACAUCUUUGAAAAUUUUAUCUUUGUUUGAAUGCACUUCUACGCAUCUUUACUUUUUGUUGAUACUUUUGUUCAGACUUUUUGUGUUAUCUGCGUUUGACUAGGUUAAGAUGCCCUAGAUUUCCUCCAAUAUGUCCCCCAAUUUCUUGUUGACCUCAACCUGUUAUGGCUUUUCUUGGCUGCGCAUAUCCGUGCCCCUAUUUGGAUGAUCUACUAAUCGAAUGUCUCUGUCUUGUCAAGUAACUAAUUUAUUGUUGUCUAUCAAGCUAUAUAUAAGAGGUUUAUAAGACCUGUCCUGAUUUUCAACAGAUCCAUGGACUCUGAGCAGUUCUUCAGUGAUUCGAGCAUUAGUUUCGAAUUUGAAGAAGAUGAAUCAGUUAAGCAGAAAUCAAAUUCAGUUCCAGCUCCGACUGUUGCCUCCGAGAAUCUAAAUGGAGGUUUUGAUUGCAACAUUUGUCUGGACUCAGCACAUGACCCUGUGGUCACCCUUUGUGGUCAUCUUUAUUGUUGGCCUUGUAUUUACAAAUGGCUCCAUGUUCAGAGCUCCUCCCUCGACUCUGAAGAACGGCCAAAAUGUCCAGUCUGUAAGACUGACAUUUCAAACUCCCUAUUGGUUCCUCUCUAUGGACGUGGAACAUCGUCACCAGAAUCUGAAGCGAGGAAGUGCCAACUGGAUUUGGCCAUACCACAGAGGCCCUCUGCUAUUGGAAUCAAUGCUCUACCCAGUAAUGCAUCAUCAAUAGGGUCUCAUUCACACCAACAACUUCAUGCCAAUCUGUUCCAAUCCCAGCCGGAUUCUUUUCAACAACCGCAGUACUUUCAGCCACAGUUGCAGCCUUUCCAUCACCAGCCAUAUUUCCCCCAUGCUUUUGGUGGUUAUGCAUCCAUGGGACCAUCUGGAUUUGGAAAUACAGCAAUGACCAGUUAUUACAGUCCAACUAUCGUGAUGUUUGGGGAAAUGGUUUUUCCAGGGAUGUUUGCCAGCUCAGGCACAAGUUUGUUUUCCUCUAGCCAUCCUGCUACUGUAAAUGGUAGCCCUAGGAGGAUGAGAAGGCAGGAGCUGCAGGUGGAAAAGUCUAUGCGGAAUUUACUCUCCUUCCUUGUCUGCUGCUUUGUGCUAUGCCUUCUACUUUUCUGAUGUAAGUUUUGUUUGUGUAAUUGUACAAAUUGUGAGACUGUCCUUAUAAAAACAGUCACAGAGAUUAGAUACAUGUAGCAAUUUAGAGGUUUUAGCUGGAUAUGAAAACCUGGCGGACGACAUUUGUCUCCUGUACAUGAUAUAUCUUCUAGUAUUGUUACUUAGAAACUUAUAUCAAGCUGAGAUUGAACUGCUGUUGAAGAAAAAAGGGUGUCAUCCCGGUUUACUCACCCUUCUUGUAGUGAUGUGAGAAGUUUCUCUUAGUGGCUCUCGUAUCUUGUUUUAGCUGUUAUCCUGUGGCUGAGUUGGAUACCUUAUCAUUUGAACUUUGAAGUGGAAAAGAUGAAGGGGGGUUCGCAUCUUCCACAUCAACAUUAUUGUGACUGAUGAACAAGGCAGGAAUGUUUAUGAAGAUUUGAGUGGGCCUGUUUAACUUCAUAUACGCAACUAGUUGAAGGAUACUGUUAGAAACUGAGUUUGCAAUUCAUUGCGAGCCCAAAUAAUGCUAAAGUUGAACCUGAUGCUAGUUGUUUUAUAGCAGAGUGACAGGUUCUUGCAGAUUGAAACAUUUGAAAACCACUAUGCCCUGUCAGUCUUUGAAUUUGAAUGAAUAAGAGAUUAAUUAGUGAAGUCAGAUGUUUUGUAGUUUCAAUUUUUUUUUUUUGGAAUAAUUCGUGGGAAAGCAAAGAAGGUCAGCGGAUUGGUUUGAUUGAAUAAGAGAUUAAUUAGCAAAAUCAGAUAUUUCGUAAUUUUCUUGGAAUAAUACGAGGGAAAGAAAAGAAGGUCAAUGAAUUGGAUGAAUACUUAAGGGGGUGUUUGUUCUGUAUUCUGGAAUUGGAAUCAGAAUCCCUUUCAUGGUAUGAGUAUUUUUUUUCCUUUUAAUUUCUCCUUGCAUGUUAUGUUUGGAAUCGAAAUGGGUUCCAUUGAACCAAGGAGUGAACUAUUUUGAUACCCAAAGUAAUAAGGAGAGAGUAAAAUUUAACACUUUCAUUAUCAUUAAAUGAUUCCCAUAAUACUCUAGUAAACAAUAAGCACAGGUCCCAUUUUAAACCCUCGUACUCAUUUACCAAACAUCCCCUAAAUGUUACUUCAGGAUCGCCUCCCCUGGAUUAGGUAAUGUAUUAUAGUAUUAGGCUGCCCAACAACUUGGCCUGUCCUGGUGGAACUAUUUUAGAUUUGGUUUGGACUUCAGAGGUAGUAUUUGAGACUGUGAGUGGCUUGAGUAUAAUUAGUCCAAACUAACUGUUGUUAGCAUCUUCAAAUGAACUUUCUCACCUUUGUCGAUGACACAAGUGAAAGGUUUUGAAUUCAAACAUUCUAUUUAUACAUCCUUUUUUACCUUACCAACCAAUUCAACCUUUCUCCUCGGACAUUGAUAGGUUAAUGUUUUGUGCAUGUGAUAAAGUGAACAAAGAAUCUCAGGACUUUGAUUUCUUCUUCGUAAAUCAACUGCAGUGCAUGUUAAGGAUUCCGAAUCACAUUUAAAAAUGAAAGCUAGGUAGUGGCUGAGUUCGUGAGGUAUCAUCUGUCAUGGAAUCCCAGUUCACUACUAAUCCAAAAACGGAUUAAACUUAGGAGCACAUGGCAAACAAAGCAAAUUUUCUGUAUUAAAUUGGCUGUCGGCUGAUGAUAUCUAGAAAUAUUUGGACCCAAAUUUUUGCACAUUAUUUUGCUUCCUGCUAAAUUCCUAAUGUUCCUAGUUUUAUUUCUUUGCUUUUCUGGUUUUCCUCCUUUUGCGACGGAGAUCUUGAAUCAACUUAUUUCUUCAUCACGGUUUUGGCUGACAAAAGGAAGAUGAAAGCCCAUUACUUUUAUCUUCAAACCAUCCCCUAGGGAACAUCCUCAACGAAGUACAGCCAUUACUUAUCGUACGACCACUGCCUACCUACGAGAUUUGAGAAGCCCCCGAAUUCCCGCUAACAUCUUUAGUUAGUUUGGAGAAAAUCAUUUAGUAUUAGGAGGCCAAGUAGCGUCUCUUCACAACCCUCUCAAGCCCGAAUUCUUAUUCCUGAUUUUCUGAACUAAAAGCAGGUUCGAUUGAGAACAAAUUCUUAUUUGCUUUUAGUUCAGAAAACCAGGAAUAUGACAUUCUCAAACUGUUUUCUUUUUCGCCGCCUUAGUUUUUUUUUUUCCUUCAAGUGAAGAAAAGUCAGAAUUAGAGACUAAAAGAUACCCAUCCUUCGAAUUCUGAUUUUGGCUAUUCAAAGAUCAAAAUCAGUUAAGAACAGACACCAAGAUUGAAACAAAAUAAUGCAUUAACUAUUAUGAAAAAAUGGAGGACAGAGCAAUGCACUAAUUAAACUCGCUCAUUUUGUAAGAUUAUUUGAACCUAAACCGUGAAUUAAUUGGUAUGGACGCCAAUCUAGAAUGAAAACACCGACAAGUACACCAUGAAACAGAAUAUGAGGACGUAUGACUUUUUCAUCACAGAAGCACAUGCUUGUGCUUUCUUGCUCUUGAUCCUGAGAAUAUUGAAGCACAAGUACGUACAAUUCCGUACCUCAAGGGAAGUGGGAUAAAACGCGCACUUCAAAAACUGUCACCAUUAAUGGUAGCGCGGGCACAAGUUGAUUGAAUAAUAAUCACCGACAACCGCGUCCUACCUUGGACCAUAUAUUCAGCCUUCAGGUUGUUAUAUAAGCCGAGAGGCUCCGAGAAACUCAAGUAGCUAUAGGAUUAAGUGUCAACAAACUGCAUUGCUUUGCUUGUGAAGCAGUUCUAGUUGAGAAGAACUCGUACUAAAUGGAAGCCAAAAAAUGUUGUGUUUUGCUCUGCCAAUUUCUUUUGUUCAUUAAUGUCGUGCUCUUCGAGGGAAUCAAUGUUGAAGCCCGUGGUUGGCUUCAUGCUCGUGCAACAUUUUAUGGAAUUAAUCAAGAUCCCGGCACCCUUGGUAAGAAAGUUUUUGCAUGGGACCAAUUUAUAUUGCAAAUGAACCAUGCCAUAAGGUCCAUAACCUCGAAAGCACUCUUUCGUGCAUACUCUCGCAAACACACGCUUGUUUCUCUUAGGUUGUUCUGCAUGAUUUCCUCCCUGUAACAUCCUUGGAGUAAAAAUCUUCCUUUUGUUUUCCAGGAUAAUAAAUAUUGAGCAUAUAAUUAAUGUUGUAUACAACUCUAUCAUGCAAGAUUAAGAUUGAUGCUCGUUUCUCAUUUUGUUCUGAACAAUGAAUUAACGGACCCUUAUGAUGAGAUCGCUCAGGAACAGAGCAGUGACUUGGUUUAUGCAUGUCAUUCAUUUUGUAGUGUUUGUUUUAACUGAUUUUUCACAUGCAGGUUCCAUCCUCUCUUCUUUUUAAUGUGUUAUGCAUCGUCAAGUCUGUUUCGCAUAAUCUUUUCUCCAUCUCUUGGAGACAAACAACAGAAAAAUAAGAAAACGCACACUAAGUAAUGGCCAGAGAUAUCCAAUUUCUGAUGAUUAAAGUUGGGUUGGAUAAUGUUUUUGUUAGGUGGAGCUUGCGGGUAUGAGAACACAUAUCAGGCAGGUUUUGGUGUGUACACAACAGCUUUAAGUGGUGCACUCUUCAGAGGUGGCGAGGCAUGUGGUGCUUGUUACCAAGUUAUGUGCAACUCCAGGCUCGAUCGGAGGUGGUGCCUUCCUCGUGCUUCCGUCACCGUCACCACCACCAACUUCUGCCCUCCAAACCACCACGGCGGCUGGUGUGAUCCUCCCCGCCACCACUUUGACAUGUCCAUGCCUGCCUUCCUGCGGAUAGCGCGACAAGGCAACGAAGGCAUUGUUCCAGUUCUUUAUAGAAGGUAAUUACAUCGCACCCUUUUUAAUUACCAAAUAAACUUUGAUUGCCACCACAAAAUGCGUGAGAUCACUCCGUGCAAAUCCCAUUUGUCAUGCAAAUAUUUUUGAGCAUAGUGGUUUUGCACUUUUUUGCUUCUUGAAUCUUAAAAAGAGUACCAAUCCAACAAUCCUUUUAUGAUUUAAAAUGGUGAAACGUGUUAUCAACUAAAUAUUUCCCUAUCAUUAUCAUUUGUUUGGAUGAAUCAAACUCUAACUUUGUCCACGAUGCCACUUGUUUGAGGCAUUCUCUUACAAAAACAUUUUGUAUCUAUGAUGCAUGUUGUCGGAAUUAGCAUACGUACGUACAUGUACCCUUGCAUGUUACUAAACAAUUUUUUUUUUAUUUAAAAUAAAAUUUGGAAUAUUCAGGGUGUCUUGCAGGAGGAGUGGUGGAGUUCGUUUCACAUUGAAGGGGCAAUCAAAUUUCAACAUGGUGAUGAUUUCAAACGUGGGCGGAGGCGGUGACAUCAAGAGUGUAUGGAUCAGGGGAUCAGGAACAAGAACAUGGGCGGCCAUGCACAGGAAUUGGGGUGCAAACUGGCAAAUCAGCGUAGACGUUCGAGGCCAGACGCUUUCUUUCAGAGUCACGUUAGUCAAUGGAAGAACGUUGGAGUUCUUCAACGUUGUCCCGUCAUCAUGGCAAUUUGGACAGACUUACGCCGCUCGGAAUCAGUUCAUUUGACACACACACACACACACAUGCUCGUCGGAGUUCUCGGAAUUACUUAAAAAGAAGAAGCUAAUAACGAUUAAUGUUUUACUGUCCAAGUGGACCUGUCGUUUUUUAGCACAGUAUGUGUCCGGUUGGAUUAAAACAAUCUAUAUAUAUAUAUAUAUAUAUAUAUAUAUAUAUAUAUUUUUUAUGCUGGGUAAGGAGAAUAUUGCCUAAAGGAAGUAGCCUAAAACGGCUCAAAAUAAAGAUUUUUUUUUUUUUUUUAAUGUAUACGAGUACUAUUGCUCUGGAAAGAGCUUACAAAGAAAUUCUGAGUGAUUAUUUUCCAUCUACAAAUGGCAGCUUCAAAGUAGUGCUUUCGUGAAACGUAUGAAGUUUGGGCCUUACCAGAGGACUCAUGGUUGAAGUAGCAUGCUGCACCCACAAGAACUAGCCCAUAAACUUUGAUAUCGAAAGUUCGGGCUCAGAUUUGGACGACUUGUAGCGUCACUUCAUGGACUCUUCCGAGUUUCGGAAAAUCCGAUUAAACUUAACCAAAAAAAAAAAAAAAAAAAGAAACAUAUCGAUGUUAGUAGUAUAUCAAUGAUGAAGAAUUGGACCACCGUUUCAAAAUUGGACCAAACAUAUCGAUGUUUGGUUUCAUUAAGAACUCCAUUGAUAAGAAAUUGCAAGGGUGGAAAAAUAAGUUAUUGAGCCAGGUAGGGAAGGAGAUAAUGCUCAAAGCAGUGGCUAUGGCCAUGCUUACCUAUACAAUAUCGUGUUUUAGAUUACACACUAAGCUGUGUAGAGAUAUUAGUGCUAAAAUGGCAGACUACUGGUGAGGGGAUUCAGAAGGGAAGAAAAAGAUGCAUUAGAUUGGUUGGAGGAAAAUGACUGAGAAGAGAAGUAUUGGGGGAAUGGGAUUCAAGGACUUGCAAAUGUUUAAUAAAGCUCUACUGGCCAAACAAGUCUGGAAGUUGUUAACACAACCAAACUUGUUAGUCAGUAAAGUUUUAAAAGCAAAAUACUAUCCCAAACAAUCAAUCUUCAAUUGCAAAGUGCCUCAGAAUGUUUCAUCAAUUUGGCAAAGCCUAUCAGCUGUCAGAAAAGAAGUUCAAAAUGGCAUCAGGAGGAAAAUAGGAAAUGGUAAAGGUACUAGGAUCUGGGAUGACAACUGGAUUCCAGAUAGGCCAUACGGGAAAUCAAUUUCUGAAAAGUCUCGGGGGUGUCAACUAAAGUAUGUCUCUGAUCUGAUAAUCAACAACAGAUGGAACACAGUCCUAAUCUUCAAAAUUUUCAACUCACAAGAUGCUAAGAGGAUUCUGAAAAUACCUAUAAAUCUAAUAGGGAAAGAAGACAACUAGUACUGGAUGCAUUCUCAGAAUGGACAAUACACAGCUCAAUCUGGCUACAAGACUUGGAUGAAGGAAAAGGAGAUGGAGUGCACAAGAAGGAGGAAGGGAGCUGGACCAAGCUAUGAAGGAACUAUCACUCAAAUCUGGAAAACACUAUGAAGCAGAAGGUGAAUCAGAAAAUGAAAGUGUUCAUUUGGAAGUGCCUGCAUGGUGGACUACCUGUGAGAGGAGAAAUUCACAAAAGAACAAGACAAGGGAAUCCUAUGUGUGCAGGAUGUGGCGAAAAGGAAGAGUCAAUUGAACACCUUCUGAUCCAGUGCAUCAAAGCUAAGGAAAUAUGGAAGAUUGCACCAGUGCAGUGGGAUGGAAUACAGCAGCUGUUGGAUUGUUUCAUCAAAUGGUGGUUUGCAAUCAUAGAAGCUCAAGAGAGCAGAGGAGGGGAGGAUCAGGUGAACCUUACCAUCAACAUUCUAUGGCAGAUAUGGAAAGUCAGGAAUGAUAGGGAGUUUAACCACAAAGAUAGGGAACCUCACAAGAUAAUUCAUAAAUCCAUGAAAGAAUGGAUGGAGUUCGAUAAGGCCAACAAAGGAAAGAUAUCAAUAAAGAACACUCAGGAAACAGAAAUACAUCAAAGAACUGUGGAAGAACAAGAUCAAAAUGAGAGCCAAUCAAGUUUGCUGAUCAAGGUCCACACUCAUCAAGAUAAAAGACAAGCAAUAGUGGGAAUUGGAAUCACAGAAACUGACUCCAUGGGACAAAUUCAAGCAGGUUGGGUAUUGAGGGAAAGAAUGUCAGCUGAUCCACUACAAGACCAAGCUGUUGCAGUGAGAUUAGCACUACUGAAUGCGGCCAACCAAGGAUGGAGGAGUAUCAAGAUGGAACUAAAUAAUAGGGAAUUGGUGGAGUGCAUAAGAGACGCAAGGUACAGCAAUCAACUAAUGGCUACUCUAAUAGAAGACAUCCAGUUCAGAAGUAAUUUGUUUCACAAGUGUUCUUUCUCUUUUGUUAAUUCAGGGAAAGUAGGUAGUAUUAAAUUGAACUUGCAUGCUCUAAACAUCUUUUUAGAUGAAGAAUGGAUAAACCCCAAUCUUAGGUGCUAGGCACCAAUGAUUUUUGGUAGGACGGUUGUCCUUUUGAUUGGACCUUUGUCUAAAUACAGUAAAGUUUUCUAUGAGAUAUAAAGCUAACGUUUUGACCGAAAAAAAAAAAAAAAAAGCCAUCCGUUGCUCUCUUUUCGCCGCAUUUCAUCAAAACCCCUAAGCGGCCUAAACUCCUAAACCCCUAGCCCCAUUCCAAAGUGCAAAAAACAACCAUUGCGGGCUCCCAAAUUACGCCAUGCCCAUAAACUUAGACCACUGUUCAAUUUCCCUGUCCCAUAGACAAUUUCCCAUUAAUCCCACCAUGUUUAAAAACGUAAUUAAGCACUCAGAUUUGUUAAAAUCCAGUAAUUUUCCUUCCUUCUUCAGAAUAAGAUCCCAUUUUACCGCCAUAAAAAAUUCAUCCAAGAGUAAUCAUUUAUUUUCCAGAAUUAGUCCUCUCAGACAAUCCUCCGCUGUAGUUCCUGUCCUCGAUCAAUGGGUUGAAGAGGGCAGAAAGAUCCAAAAGAUUGAGCUUCAGAGGAUUAUUCAUGAUCUCCGAAGCCGCAGGCGUUAUUCUCAGGCCCUUCAGGUAUAACCAUGGAAUUUUUUUUUUACCGCUUUUCGUAGCUUACUUUUUUUUUUUUUUUGACUUGGAUCAUAGAAAAUUUUUUAGGUUAAUUUUAGGACAAAAAAGAAAUGUGGGAUUUUUAAUUUAGGCCAUUCUGUUUCUGUUCUCAAGAGGGUUCUGCUAUUGGUGCUCUAUAAGCAGCAGUUGGAAUUCUAGCUGCUGAAAGUUUAUGAAGUAAAUCGCAGUUAAAUUAUCUUUUUUUUUUUAACUGUAAGGUGCAAAGAAAUGGUACGAAAUUAAGUACCUUUCAUGAAAUUAGUAGGAUUAACUAUUUUGUGACUGAAAAAUGUGCUUGAUGGUUCCCUUAAUAAAUACAACAUAGAUAAGUUAUAAGAUAGGGCAGAAGAAUCAUGUCAUACAAGCAACUAAGCUGUAUAGAAUUCAAUUUGUAGUUUAAUGACCUAGUUCGAUUUUGCACGAUGUUUUGGGUGAAAAUAAAACUAUUUGGGGGCUUAAAGAUAACUCUUUUUUUUUUGUGCCUCAACGCUUGAAAGGAGUAAUGGCAUCAAAUAACUGUGUGUAUGAUAUCUGUAAUGACGGGGCCUUUCCAUUUUAAAUCAGCUUUUUUGCCAAUUGUUGGCAUUUUAAAUCAGUUAAUGUUAGUUUUUGUAUAAACAAUGAGAAAAGUUGGUCAUUCACUUCUCCUGCAAGUGAAUAAAGGUGACAGAUGAGGAACAGCUGAACAUAGAGUGGUACUGGGAACUGAGCCGACAAGAUUUUCUCUAAUGAUGACAGUAGGACUAUCUUUCUUUUUGUUCUCCCCUUAAUUCUUUUAUCUUAAUUUUUCACUAUCUUAUUUCAAAUUAUAGUCGUGUAUGUUGCCUGAAUUACAUAUCUUUGUCUUUUCAAGAUGUGGUGUAGUAAUUUUCCGUGUUUGUAAAGGUUUUUGGUGGUUGAUGCUUGUUUUGGCAGGUUUCUGAAUGGAUGAGUCAUGAAAGUCGCUGGACAUUUUCUCCUAGUGAUUGUGCCGUGCAUGUGGAUCUGGUUGGCGUGGUCCAGGGAUGGGAUGCUGCCGAGCGUUACUUUGACAGCUUGAAAGACCAAGAAAAGAAUGACAAAACAUAUGGCGCUCUUUUAAACUGUUAUGUUCGUGAAGGACUCCUAGAGAAGUCUCUUUUACAUGUGCAAAAGAUGGAGGAGAUCGGUUAUGCUUCGUCAACUCUUGUUUACAACAAUCUCAUGUGCCUUUACAAACUAACCGGGCAGCUAGAUAAAGUCCCUGAACUGUUGGCAGAGAUGAAGAAGAAUGGUGUGUCUCCUAAUAACUUUAGCUAUAGAAUCUGCAUAAACUGUUAUGGGGAGAAGUCUGAUCUUACUAGCUUGGAGGAGCUUUUGGAAGAGAUGGAGAACCAACCUGACAUUUCCAUGGACUGGACCACCUAUUCCAUUGUGGCCAACUACUACAUUAGAGAUAACCAGAAGGAGAAAGCAAUUGUCUUUUUAAAGAAAUUGGAAGAUACAUUACUCAAAAAUGCUGUGGGGUACAAUCACUUGAUUUCACUCCAUGGGCAACUAGGGAAUUUGGAUGAGGUAACGAGACUCUGGGGUGUUCAAAAAAUUGUCUGUAGAAAGCAAAUCAACCGAGACUACAUCACGAUGCUCGGCGCUUUAGUGAAGCUUGGUGAACUUGAAAAGGCCAAAGAGCUGCUGCAGGAGUGGGAGUCUUCUUGCCACACGUAUGAUUUCAGAGUGCCGAACAUUUUACUAAUUGGGUACUGUCAGAAAGAUCUAACGGAGAAGGCUGAGGACAUGCUUCGCCAGAUUGUGAAGAAAGGGAAAGUGCCAACUCCAAACAGUUGGGGGAUUAUUGCUGGAGGAUAUAUGAAUAAAGGUAACAUGGAGAAGGCCUUUGAGUGCAUGAAGGAAGCUCUGGCGGUACAAGAGCAAAACCCGAAAUGGGAUCCAAAACCUAGAUUAGUUUUCAACAUAUUGAAUUGGCUUGGCAAUAGAGGAGAGCUUGAAGAGGUACAGGCUUUAGUGAGGUCGUUAAGGACAGUUGUUCCAGCAAAUAGAAACCUGUAUCAUGCGUUAAUUAAAGCAAAUAUUAGAGACAGGAAAGAUGUUGAUUGGGUUUUAGAGAGCAUGAAAGCGGAUGGUGUCGAGGAAGAUGCAAAAGUUGAAAAGAUACUUGCCAUGAGAUGAAGGAAGCUGGGAACUUCACAUGAUUCUAAGAAAUUUUCGCAGUUUUGGAACAUGCAUUUUGCUUUACUUUCGCGGCUCUUGGAGAAGCUCAUAACUUUUUUGAGAUGCAGCACCUUAUAAGUCAGCUGCUGAAGGAUACAAGUCUGGUGUGGCUUUUCAUAGGCAGGCUUACCAGGUUUGAAAUAGACAUGUACGGCUAAGGGAUGCAGUGGAUUUCGGGCCUCAAUAAUUGUGGAAUGCAAUGUAGACAAUAAACAGCAAAUGUGUAGAAUUAGUGCAACAAAUGUAUACACUUGAACAAUAAAUGUAAAUCAGCAAAAACUGUUAGUACUUGUUUUUGAAUUAAUUACCAGCUUUUGAAUUGAAAUAAAGUUGCCAUGAAAUACUUGUACAGGCUUCCCAUCCCGCCGCAAUUCAGCAAGGGAAUUGGGUAUAAUGACCUAGGAUUUGGUUGCUGUAAUAUACUGUACUAAAUUGAUCCUGACUUUAACCUUAAAAUUCAGCAAUACUAAAAGGGGCAAGCAAGAAAUAUUUAUUGAGAUGCGCGUGGCAGUAAUAUAUCAUUUGGAAAAAUUGCCAACAGAACCCCAAAAAAAAAAAAAAGGACCUAUAAUAAGGAAAAAGAGAAAGAGA
rnacentral:lncRNA from 1 species